GCCGAGGUCGCAUAGCCUGGCCAUUGCGAAGGAUUGCUAAUCCUUUGUCCUUCGGGGCACGGGGGUUCAAAACAGCUUCUUGCUA
rnacentral:tRNA from 1 species